CCUACGGGUGGCAGCAGUGAGGAAUAUUGGUCAAUGGACGAGAGUCUGAACCAGCCAAGUAGCGUGAAGGAUGACUGCCCUAUGGGUUGUAAACUUCUUUUAUAUGGGAGUAAAAUGUUCCACGUGUGGGCUUUUGUAUGUACCCUAUGAAUAAGGAUCGGCUAACUCCGUGCCAGCAGCCGCGGUAAUACGGAGGAUCCGAGCGUUAUCCGGAUUUAUUGGGUUUAAAGGGAGCGUAGGUGGAUUGUUAAGUCAGUUGUGAAAGUUUGCGGCUCAACCGUAAAAUUGCAGUUGAAACUGGCAGUCUUGAGUACAGUAGAGGUGGGCGGAAUGCGUGGUGUAGCGGUGAAAUGCUUAGAUAUCACGAAGAACUCCGAGUGCGAAGGCAGCUCACUGGACUGCAACUGACACUGAGGCUCGAAAGUGUGGGUAUCAAACAGGAUUAGAUACCCUUGUAGUC
rnacentral:rRNA from 1 species